rnacentral:rRNA from 1 species
GACGGAGGAUGCAAGUGUUAUCCGGACUCACUGGGCGUAAAGCGUCUGUAGGUGGUCAAAUAAGUCAACUGUUAAAUCUUGAGGCUCAACUUCAAAAUCGCAGUCGAAACUAUUAGACUAGAGUAUAGUAGGGGUAAAGGGAAUUUCCAGUGGAGCGGUGAAAUGCGUAGAGAUUGGAAAGAACACCGAUGGCGAAGGCUCUUUACUGGGCUAUUACUAACACUCAGAGACGAAAGCUAGGGUAGCAAAUGGG